UAAUACGUAGGGUGCGAGCGUUAAUCGGAAUUACUGGGCGUAAAGCGUGCGCAGGCGGUUUUAUAAGCCAGAUGUGAAAUCCCCGGGCUUAACCUGGGAAUGGCAUUUGGGACUGUAAGGCUAGAAUCUGGCAGAGGGGGGUAGAAUUCCACGUGUAGCAGUGAAAUGCGUAGAGAUGUGGAGGAAUACCGAUGGCGAAGGCAGCCCCCUGGGCUAAGAUUGACGCUCAUGCACGAAAGCGUGGGGAGCAAACAGGAUUAGAUACCCUGGUAGUCCACGCCCUAAACGAUGUCAACUGGUUGUUGGGGAAUUGAUUUCCUUAGUAACGAAGCUAACGCGUGAAGUUGACCGCCUGGGGAGUACGGUCGCAAGAUUA
rnacentral:rRNA from 1 species